rnacentral:rRNA from 1 species
AACGAACGCUGGCGGCAUGCCUAACACAUGCAAGUCGAACGAGACCUUCGGGUCUAGUGGCGCACGGGUGCGUAACGCGUGGGAACCUGCCCUUAGGUUCGGAAUAACUCAGAGAAAUUUGAGCUAAUACCGGAUAAUGUCUUCGGACCAAAGAUUUAUCGCCUUUGGAUGGGCCCGCGUAGGAUUAGCUUGUUGGUGGGGUAAUGGCCUACCAAGGCGACGAUCCUUAGCUGGUCUGAGAGGAUGAUCAGCCACACUGGGACUGAGACACGGCCCAGACUCCUACGGGAGGCAGCAGUGGGGAAUAUUGGACAAUGGGCGAAAGCCUGAUCCAGCAAUGCCGCGUGAGUGAUGAAGGCCUUAGGGGUGUAAAGCUCUUUUACCAGGGAUGAUAAUGACAGUACCUGGAGAAUAAGCUCCGGCUAACUCCGUG